CCCCCAUCCUUCCAGCAGACACAUGUGCCCCCAUCCUUCCAGCAGACACAUGUGCCCCCAUCCUUCUGGCAGACCGGAGGAUCUAGUUUUCCACCUCCCACACAGACUGGUCCCUCAUCUUUCCAGCAGACUGGAGGAUCUAGUUUUCCACCUCCCACACAGACUGGUCCCACCCCACAUCCCCCACAUGUGCCCCCACAGGAUGAUGAUUAGGCGGAGGAUGAGACUACGGAGGAUGAGACUGCGGAUGAUCAGUUGGAUGGGAGUGAUCUUCGAGGGGAUGAUGAUCCGAGUCAGAUUCAUAUCAUUGAUGGGAGAUUUUUUAUUAGGCCCGAAGGAAGCUCAUUCACGCCGAGUCGGACUGCUGCCAAAGUUAUAAGUUAUAUAAUUCAGCAGAAUUAUAAAAAGCUUAUAAAGACUUUUAAAGAUGUUAAGGGCGAUGAUAGAGAUCAUUGGUUUGCGAAAUUUCAGGAAAAAUGUGUGUGGGAACCAAUGAAAGAGAGACAGAUUAAAAAAAAUUAUUAUGGCAGAACUGCAAGACGACUUUCUGACAUGCUACGACGUGUUAGAAAGCGUUGGGAACUUCAUGGCAUCCGUCCUAGUUGGAUAGGAGAAGAAAUCUUUCGGGAACUUCUUAAAUAUUGGGAGAGUGAUGAGUUUGCGGCCAAAUCUGAAAAUGCAAAGAAGAUGAGAGCAUCUGAAAAGGGUGGUUGCCUUAAUGCUGUUGGAAGUAUAAGCACUGCUGAGCAUGUUCGUCGCAUGACUAAGGAAUUAAAUAGACCUCCACUUAUGACCGAGCUGGUUGCGAGGACUCGGAAAAAGAAA